rnacentral:misc_RNA from 1 species
AAGGAGUCUAACAUGCUUGCGAGUAUUUGGGUGUCAAACCCGGAUGCGUAAUGAAAGUGAAUGGAGGUGGGAAGCGCAAGCUGCACCAUCGACCGAUCUGGAUUUUCUAAGAUGGAUUUGAGUAAGAGCACGUAUGUUGGGACCCGAAAGAUGGUGAACUAUGCCUGAAUAGGGCGAAGCCAGAGGAAACUCUGGUGGAGGCUCGUAGCGGUUCUGACGUGCAAAUCGAUCGCCAAAUUUGGGUAUAGGGGCGAAAGACUAAUCGAACCAUCUAGUAGCUGGUUCCUGC